UACGUAGGCAGCGAGCGUUGUUCGGAGUUACCGGGCGUAAAGGGUGUGUAGGCGGUUGUUUAAGUUUGGUGUGAAAUCUCCCGGCUCAACUGGGAGGGUGCGCCGAAUACUGAAUGACUUGGAGUGCGGGAGAGGAAAGUGGAAUUCCUGGUGUAGCGGUGAAAUGCGUAGAUAUCAGGAGGAACACCGGUGGUGUAGACGGCUUUCUGGACCGUAACUGACGCUGAGACACGAAAGCGUGGGUAGCAAACAGG
rnacentral:rRNA from 1 species